rnacentral:rRNA from 1 species
CCCUUAGAUGUUCUGGGCCGCACGCGCGCUACACUGAUGCAUUCAACGAGUUUCUUCCUGGUCCGAGAGGAAUGGGUAACCUUUUGAAAGUGCAUCGUGAUAGGGAUAGACUAUUGCAAUUAUUGGUCUUCAACGAGGAAUUCCUAGUAGACGUAGUUCAUCAGACUGAAUCGAUUACGUCCCUGCCCUUUGUACACACCGCCCGUCGCUCCUACCGAUUGAAUGCUCAGGUGAGCCAUUCGGACUUUCAUCAUGCUGGUUUCCAGUUUUGAUGAAGGAAAGUCUUGCGAACCUUAUCAUUUAGAGGAAGGAGAAGUCGUAACA